rnacentral:tRNA from 1 species
AGUGGCUAAGCGCUCGGCUGCUAACCGAAACAUUGGUGGUUCGAACCCACCAGCCACUC